rnacentral:lncRNA from 1 species
CAUAAUAAUCCUCUAAGGUAGGUGUUAUUGUUGAUCUCAUUUUUCAGUUGACAAAAAAUGGCCCAGAGAGGUUAAGUGAUUACAUUGUCUAUUGUGAGAUAUUUCCUAAUCUUUAUAGUGAUAACUCAGUGAUGACAAAAUUUUCACAGUUCUUGGAUAUUUAAUUAUAGCCAUUAUUACAGUUUGGGGAGCACUCCUUGCUUCUAGGCCAAAUAUGACUCAAACCUUUUGGUACAGGGAGGGUCCUUACAUAUUCAGAAAACUCCUUUUCCUUCUGGCCAUCAUAUAUUAUGAAUUAGCAGCUGAUGAUGAUUGAAGUCAAAUCCCAUGAUUGCUGUUGAGAAAUCUACUGGUAGACGAAGUGCCGUACUUUUUAGAAGAUCUCUGAACCAGUCAGCAUUACUGUGUAAUAAACCUGAAUGUUAAAAUCUAAGAGCUUUCAUUAUUUUCAUAUGUCUGUGAAUUGGCUGAGAGCCAUAGGAUCAAGGGUAAACUUGGCUGGGUAACUGUUUGAAGCUGUAGGUGUGAUUGAGCUUGGCUUUUUUCGUUGUGUGUUGGGCUCGGGUUAGCUCUAUUUGUCUUUAUUUGAAGGCCCAAAUAUUAAUUAUCAAUGCAAUUAUUCUUUAUGAGCCCAGCCUGUAAGUUAAACUUACUAAAGUCAAAUUGCAAGGGAUCUGAGUAAAUCUAAUAGAAUGGAAGAAUGGAAAUUGCACAAGUAGGAGCACAGUGGACAGAACACAAAAAUUUCACAGAAUUUUUUCUUACAAGUAGGAUUCCUUUAGCAGACUCUACAGUUAUUUCUCUCCGUCAAAUCUGUGAAGAGGCUGAUAUGUUUGCUUAAGGACUCUUGGAUAAAUUAAGGAUCAAAUAAAUUCCAUUUCAGUUCAGUUCAGUCGCUCAAUUGUGUCUGAUACUACAUGACCCUGUGAACUGCAGUACACCAGGCUUCCAUGUCUAACACCAACUCCUGGAGUUUACUCAAACUCAUGUCCAUUGCGUCAUGAGCGGUGAUGCCAUCCAACCAUCUCAUCCUGUGUCGUCCCCUUCUCCUCCUG